GAAUGUGAAAAGCAGCACAGGAAAGAGUGGGGGAGAGCAAAAUAGGAAUAGAGAGAUCCUGUUGGUCUGGGUUCUACUGGCUGUAGGUCUUGAACUGCUGCUGAUUCUGGUCAGCAUUAUAAUCUGUGUGUUGAGAAAAAAGUUCAAAAAAGGUCAGAUGGAGACCAGAGAGAGGCGCAAUAACACUGCAGUUCAGACGGUUAGUAUUGUGGUUAAUGGGAGGCAUCAUGCAGUCUGGUUAAGUAUUGCUUUCAGUGUUGCUUGGUGUUUGGAGACAGAAGUU